GUGAAUCAUCGAAUCUUUGAACGCACAUUGCACUCUCUUCUGAGAGUAUGCCUGUUUGAGGUUCAGCCUAAAAAAAAUCGACAUCGUUUCUGUUUCGCUGUGGCGUUCGUCGGAAAUUGGGUUAUCUUAAAUCUUUGGUUUAAGCGAGUUAAAUUUUUCUUUACUAUUGCAUUAACGUUUCCAAGAUUUAUUUCUUUCCACGUUUAAGGUAUCAAUUUUAUUAGGCUUGCUCGGCAUAUCGUAGCA
rnacentral:misc_RNA from 1 species